UACAGAGGUCUCAAGCGUUGUUCGGAUUCAUUGGGCGUAAAGGGUGCGUAGGCGGCGCGGUAAGUCGGGUGUGAAAUCUCGGAGCUUAACUCCGAAACUGCAUUCGAUACUGCCGUGCUUGAGGACUGGAGAGGAGACUGGAAUUUACGGUGUAGCGGUGAAAUGCGUAGAUAUCGUAAGGAAGACCAGUGGCGAAGGCGGGUCUCUGGACAGUUCCUGACGCUGAGGCACGAAGGCCAGGGGAGCAAAAGGG
rnacentral:rRNA from 1 species